GGCGCCAUAGCCAAGUGGUAAGGCAUCGGUCUGCAACACCGCUAGCACCAGUUCGAAUCUGGUUGGCGCCUCUA
rnacentral:tRNA from 1 species